UACGUAGGGUCCGAGCGUUGUCCGGAAUUAUUGGGCGUAAAGGGCUCGUAGGCGGUUUGUCGCGUCGGGAGUGAAACUCAGGGCUCAACCCUGAGCGUGCUUCCGAUACGGGCAGACUAGAGGUAUGCAGGGGAGAACGGAAUUCCUGGUGUAGCGGUGAAAUGCGUAGAUAUCCGGAGGAACACCGGUGGCGAAGGCGGCUUUCUGGACCGACACUGACGCUGAGGCGCGAAAGCUAGGGGAGCAAACGGG
rnacentral:rRNA from 1 species